AUUGAACGCUGGCGGCAUGCCUUACACAUGCAAGUCGAACGGCAGCAUGGAGGAGCUUGCUCCUCUGAUGGCGAGUGGCGAACGGGUGAGUAAAGCAUCGGAACAUACCGUGUAGUGGGGGAUAACGUAGCGAAAGUUACGCUAAUACCGCAUACGCACUGAGGUGGAAAGCAGGGGAUCGCAAGACCUUGCGCUAUACGAGCGGCCGAUGUCAGAUUAGCUAGUUGGUAGGGUAAAGGCCUACCAAGGCGACGAUCUGUAGCGGGUCUGAGAGGAUGAUCGCCACACUGGGACUGAGACACGGUCCAGACUCCUACGGGAGGCAGCAGUGGGGAAUUUUGGACAAUGGGGGAAACCCUGAUCCAGCCAUGCCGCGUGAGUGAAGAAGGCCUCGGUUGUAAG
rnacentral:rRNA from 1 species